rnacentral:rRNA from 1 species
AGAGUUUGAUCCUGGCUCAGGACGAACGCUGGCGGCGUGCCUAACACAUGCAAGUCGAGCGGAGACAGUGAGUAGCUUGCUAUGAGCUGUUUUAGCGGCGGACGGGUGAGUAACGCGUGAGCAACCUUUCCCAGACAGGGGGAAUAACACACCGAAAGGUGUACUAAUACCGCAUAAGACCACGGGAUCACAUGGUUCUGGGGUAAAAGAUUUAUCGGUUUGGGGUGGGUCUCGCGUCCGAUUAGGUAGUUGGUGAGGUAACCGG